GUGUCUGAUCAAUUGCUCGUCUUGGGGUGAAAAUGAGCCUCGUUUAAGGUCGGGGCGUAAGUAGUUAAUCCAC
rnacentral:pre_miRNA from 1 species